rnacentral:lncRNA from 1 species
UGAAGAUCAGUCACCUUCCCAAUUAAACGGAAACCACCACAGUUCUAUCCUCCGUGAAAUUUUGCUUAGAAUGAUGACAUUACACGUCGAUCAGUCAACCGCCGGGAUUUAUGGAGUGCUUAAUGUGUGCAGAGCACUGGGCUAGUCGCACCGCGUGCCGAGCAGAGCAGUAAGUGCCGGGGAGGGCGCAAUCCAACCGUAGACUGCGAGCCCGUUAUAGGGCAGGGAUGGUCUCUGUUGCUCUGGUGCUCUGCACAUCGUAAGUGCUCGAUCAAUAGGAGCGAAUGAAUGAAUGAGUGGGCCUAUUCGUUCCCCGUCCCCCGGGAGCUUAAGGUCUGGAGGGGGAGAGGGACCCUAGAAAAAAUGAUGGAUGCACGCCCAAGUGCUGCGGGGAAAACGCUUUAUCCCUCGAAGAUGCUCUGUGCGCCGGGGGUAAGGCGUGAGGACGGUACCCCCGUAACCCUUCCCGCUGCGUCCCUAGCGCUUAGCAGAGGGCUCCGCACAGAGGAAGCGCCCAACAAAUCCCAUUGUAGGGAGGAAUGAGGAGACGACGAUCAGGGUGUGAUUCAAAUCCACGACACGGCCUUCCUGCUGUGUCAUUUGAGCCAGGCCCCCCCCCCCCACCUCCCUCCCCUCCACCGCCGGAGAGGAAAGGCAGGACGACGGCAGCAACGUCAUGGCACGGUGGCACUUCUCCUCGGGCAUCUCUGCCCCUCCGCUGGCGCCGGCGGAGGAGCCCGUGGGUGCGGGAAGGGGAGAGGGGAGGUGGGUGGAGGUGGGGGAAGGAGACACCCAAGCUGGACUCCCCUCCCCGCGAUUGACACCCCCAUCGGCCAGGCCCCGGCUUUCCGAGGGGAGCGCUCCAGCCAAUGGGCACCGUGCGGGGCGGGUUUUGGAGCUGGGAGGUGCUGCUACUUAGCAUCGCCGCUCUGGUCGGGGCUGGCCGGGGGCGGGGGAGUCCAGUCCAGAGCCGGAGAGGACGUCCAGGGGCGGGGAGAGCGGCCCGCAGAGGACCGGACCGGGGUGCACCGGACAGGGGCGCAUCCGACAGGGGCGCAUUGGAGAGGGGCGCACCGGAGAGGGGCGCGCCUGGCACCGAAGCCACAGCUCUGGGGGGGCGGAGGCACCCAAGCAGCGGCACCCAAGCAGCAGCAGAAAGAGCCGGCUGAAAGGCCAGGGAGGACUCCUUCACCUCCGCAGGACCGAUGGGGACAGGAAGACUUUAAAGGAGUUUGGCGUUGCCAGGAGCGGGGAGAUCACCGAUCCCGG